rnacentral:rRNA from 1 species
GGGAAUCUACCGUGCCCUGCGGAAUAGCUCCGGGAAACUGGAAUUAAUACCGCAUACGCCCUACGGGGGAAAGAUUUAUCGGGGUAUGAUGAGCCCGCGUUGGAUUAGCUAGUUGGUGGGGUAAAGGCCUACCAAGGCGACGAUCCAUAGCUGGUCUGAGAGGAUGAUCAGCCACAUUGGGACUGAGACACGGCCCAAACUCCUACGGGAGGCAGCAGUGGGGAGUAUUGGACAAUGGGCGCAAGCCUGAUCCAGCCAUGCCGCGUGAGUGAUGAAGGCCUUAGGGUUGUAAAGCUCUUUCACCGGUGAAGAUAAUGACGGUAACCGGAGAAGAAGCCCCGGCUAACUUCGUGCCAGCAGCCGCGGUAAUACGAAGGGGGCUAGCGUUGUUCGGAAUUACUGGGCGUAAAGCGCACGUAGGCGGAUAUUUAAGUCAGGGGUGAAAUCCCAGAGCUCAACUCUGGAACUGCCUUUGAUACUGGGUAUCUUGAGUAUGGAAGAGGUAAGUGGAAUUGCGAGU